AAAGUGAACCAUUAAUCCAGCAGUGCCCUGCAAAGAGGGCUAAAGCAGAGCUUCUCUUCGCCUCAGAUAAAGAAGCCAGGAGCUACAAUUCCUUCCCACCUGCUCCCUAGAUACCCCGUUCCAAGACAGGAGCACCCAAGUCUCUGACACCCUCCUGCUUCACCCAUCCGCCUGACUUGGCUGAACGCUGGUGUCCUGGAACUCAUUCUCUUUCUCUGAUCUUCCUGUCCACUGCCAGAGAGUGGUGCCACAAUUCCAAAAAUGAAAGGAAAGUAAAAGA
rnacentral:lncRNA from 1 species